rnacentral:snoRNA from 13 species
UAUCCUUGACCUGGGCAGAGUGACAUCUGGUUGGUGGUGCCCAUCUCAUAUCAGCCAGGGGCAAAGCAACCCCUUGCUUAUCCCAGCUUGGCUUCUGGUCUGUGCCCAUGCUUGGUUCAUGCCUUGGACACAUGG